AUUUAAUUAUUAGUAGUUUUCUUUGUUAGUACUGUCUGGCGAUAACCAUUAAUCUUAAAAGCUCGAACUGUUAAAAAUACGCAACCAAUUCACUUAAAGCGUAUAGAUACAGCGUCCACGGGUCUCGAACAUGAUUCGGCCCACCUAGCCUCACGCCAUUUCUAAUAUUACUCGGCCCAUUUAAGCCAAUAAUCCUCCCUCCAGUAUCCGCACAUAUUUACAGCCAAAAGCUUGAGCUGUUAGAAUACGCAACCAAUUCACUUAAAGCAUACAGAUAAAGCGCCCACGAAUCUUGAUUAUGACUUGGCCCACACAGCCUCACGCUAUUUCGAAUAUGACUCGACCCAUUUAGCCUCACGUCAUUUCGAACAUUACUCGACCCAACAUAGCGUUCCGUCACAAGGUAGGAUGCUGACCUAUUUAAGCCAACAGGUCCUUAGAAUUUGAGGCAUCUUAUAUAUUAUUCAUUCAUAAUCUAAUUGCGGUUCAUUCGGCUCGCUGAUUAAAUUGCGGAUUCGAAUAAUUUAAAAUAAAAAUUUUAAUUUAUUCAGUAUAAAGAGUUGAAUCAAAUCGUUUUAUUAACUAAGUCACCGUGCGAAACCCGAUUUUUAAAACACUAUUAUUAAUUUCUACAAUUUUUUUCUUUAAAAAAAUAGUGUCAAAUAGUAUGCAAGGGGAAGUAAAAAAAAAAAAAAAAAAAAAAAAAAAAAAAAAAAAAAAACUAUGAACAACCAACCUCUCCACUCCCUCGUGGGUCGUGAGCUGUAAACGUUUUGUGAUCUUUUUGUUGGAACAAAUACCGCACAGAAAUCUGAUUGUGAUUUAAAUCUAACAAAAUCUUAUGAUAAAAUUAAUAAAAUCAACUUACCGAUAAUCGCUAAGUCCAAAUAAAAAUUUAAUUGAUCCGGAAGCGUGCGAGGCACUGCCCUAAGGCGUAUUUCCGUCCUUACGUGCGGGAUUAACCGGAAAUAACACCCCAAGGUACGACCG
rnacentral:lncRNA from 1 species